AGAACGAACGCUGGCGGCAGGCCUCAAACAUGCAAGUCUAGGGGGUGCAGCAAUGCAUCACCGGCGGACGGGUGCGUAACACGUGGGAAUAUACCUUUCGGUACGGAACAACGCAGGGAAACUUGCGCUAAUACCGUAUACGUCCUUACGGAGAAAGAUUUAUCGCCGAAGGAUUAGCCCGCGUAGGAUUAGCUAGUUGGUGAGGUAAUGGCUCACCAGGGCUCCGAUCCUUAGCUGUUCUGAGAGGAAGAUCAGCCACACUGGGACUGAGACACGGCCCAGACUCCUACGGGAGGCAGCAGUUGGGAAUCUUGGACAAUGGGGGAAACCCUGAUCCAGCCAUGCCGCGUGAGUGAUGAAGGCCCUAGGGUUGUAAAGCUCUUUGUGCGGGAAGAUAAUGACGGUACCGCAAGAAUAAGCCCCGGCUAACUUCGCGCCAGCAGCCGC
rnacentral:rRNA from 1 species